AUGGAGAACCACAUGCAUCCCGGUGCCGGUGGUGGUGGCUGGCGUGGCGGCGGCCAGCACGGGCGAGGGGGCGGGCGUGGCGGCGGCCAGCACGGGCGUGGGGGCGGGCGUGGCGACGCCCAGUGCGGGGGUCAUGGCCGCGGCAGGCAUCUCGUGGCCGCGCGGGCUGGCAAAUUCAAGCGGGCCGCCUUCUUGCCGUCGGAUCAUCUGAUUGUUGCUGCGGAAGCUGCUGUGACUAAUAUUCCUUACGAAGUACUGGAAAUGUUCCUCCCCGCGGCCAGCUCACACAUGAGGCGAACAUUUGUAAACUACAUCAGAUCUUUGACUCCAAUUCAGCAAAUGCAAGUACCUGGGGACACAAGGCUUUAUGAUCAGUCAUCAGUGGUUGCUCUCAACUCAACUGGUGCAUCUGUCGACUGGGUUGUGGAGCUACACAGGGCUGGGUUCUCACUGGAUGGUGUGAUGGGGGUAAAUGAUUUUGUUGUUGACCACAGAGGCCUUCUGAAAGGGAGCCAUGUCCUUAGGAAGAUGCUGAAGCCACUAGACGAUACCAGGAGGGACAGGGAUCUAGUCGCAUUAGCAGGUUCAAUUCAGGAUGGAAUUUAUCAUGGCAUAACUGAACUCCCCAGAGAUGUUGCUCAGUUAGUUCGGAGGCUGAAGCGAUUUAAAAGAGGUUAUCACCGACUGUACAGGAUGCAUGUUGCGACAAAAUCUGAAAUUGAGAAAUGUGCCAUGUUUGAGAGGUACUUUGUGCGGCUGGAGCAGAUCAGGCAGCGCUCACCUGGGACAUAUGCCAAAAUUAUAAAGAGGAUAGACUGUGGUCUAAAUUGGCUCAAAAGUUCGAUGCUGAAUUUGCAUGUUCACUCCGUGAUGCGGUUCAGGCCGGGGGGCAGUACAUUUGAGGCUAAGCUUCGUUCGUUUCUCAGUGUUGCAGCAGCUAAACGUGUUGAUGUGCCAGGGUUUCUUACAACAAGACGGAAUGGCCAGGCUCACCUUUCUAAAGACAACGCCAUGGACUUGGGGCAAGGAAAAGAGAUUGCUCUCAAAGCUGCCACAAGUGCAAUGAUCCAAGAAAACCCUUCCAUUGCAGUUAUGCUAGGUAAACGAGUUCAGAAUACGCCUGGAAGAGGAACAGCUAUAGACGCAAAAGAUGCUGCAUUCACUCCUGAGGUCGGCGGAUUAAUCGCGAAAGCAAUUUGUAACGCCUUGUCAAUUGGUUACAUUGCGGACAAGGUGGCAGCAAAAGCAGCAAAGGCUGCUGCAAAGAGAAUGGCGCUGUAUGUGCCUGUCCAAACAACGAACAAAGCAAUAAUAAAGCGGUCAAAGGCAAAUGCACAUAUAAUCGCCGCAAACGCUGCAAGAGCAGCUGCAGUGGCACAGGUUCUGAAGGAACAAAAGCCGCAUGGACCUUUGCAAACACGGCCAGUGCUGGAAAUGUUCACUCAAACACAAAUUGAACAUAUGUUUUAUGUGAUUGCUCCAGAUAUGCUCCAUUCACUACAACUUGCUUUGUUCCGUGAGGGAAUUCUCGAAGAUGGUCAUUGGCUUGAUGAGUCCAAGAUGAUCCUUCUACUGGAUCCGCCAUCAACCUAG
rnacentral:rRNA from 1 species